GGGCUGGAGGAAAGGCAGCAGUCUUCACAGAGCUCACUUUACGGCUGGGCUCACCCUUCACCCCAAGACAGCUUUGAUCACUGGGAAGUUUCCACAAACACAGAAUGAAUGAGGAAGAAGGUGAUUAUAUUUUCGGUGUGAUCCACGUGGACGAGAGGUGUUGCAUGUUUUUACAAAUUGAAGAUCUGUGACAACCCUGGGUCAAGCAAGUCUAUCAGUGCCAUUCUUCCAACAUAGGUGUAUAUGCUGGAGCAGCUGUACUUAAGUCCAGAAAUAAGAAGAUAUUUGAUCUGAGGACUCAGGAGAGAGCAUGGCUGCUGCAUAGAUGGUGCCUUCCAUCGCUUGACAUAGGGAAGCCCAGCCAAAGCCUGUGUCUUGGGCAGCCGGGGAGCUCUCAGGAUGGCUUGAAAUCUCCCACAUGGCCUGGGCCUGUUCUCCUUCCCCUCCAGCUCUCCUGGGUGCAGUCAAAGCUUCACUCCCUACACCCUACUGAACUAUCAGCUGACUGAUUCCCACUUGUCCAUGCCCCAGGACCCCACAGAAGCUCCACAUGCUUCCACAAGCUGAUGCACCAGUUCCAAGAGGAGGAAGAAAAGCUGGCACUCAGCCUUUAUUUCUCCCCAAACACCACAGUCAUUCAAUUCUGAAAAAAAAAAAAAAAAAAAAACCCAUUGCUUUGAAAAACAUAAAAUGAGAUCUAUCAAACA
rnacentral:lncRNA from 1 species